rnacentral:rRNA from 1 species
AGUGAACGCUGGCGGCAUGCCUAACACAUGCAAGUCGAACGGCAGCACAGUAAGAGCUUGCUCUUACGGGUGGCGAGUGGCGGACGGGUGAGGAAUACAUCGGAAUCUACUUUUUCGUGGGGGAUAACGUAGGGAAACUUACGCUAAUACCGCAUACGACCUACGGGUGAAAGCAGGGGAUCUUCGCACCUUGCGCGAUUGAAUGAGCCGAUGUCGGAUUAGCUAGUUGGCGGGGUAAAGGCCCACCAAGGCGACGAUCCGUAGCUGGUCUGAGAGGAUGGUCGGCGACACUGGAACGGAGCCACGGUCCAGAGUCCUACGGGAGGCAGCAGUGGGGAAUAUUGGACAAUGGGCGGAAGCCUGAUCCAGCCAUACCGCGUGGGUGAAGAAGGCCUUCGGGUUGUAAAGCCGUUUUGUUGGGAAAGAAAAGCAGCAGGUUAAUACGCCGCUGUUCUGACGGUACCCAAAGAAUAAGCACCGGCUAACUUCGUG